rnacentral:sRNA from 1 species
UACCUCAUCAGCUUUAUGUUUUGUGCGC